GACAGGGGGCCCGAGCGUUAGUCGGAAUUACUGGGCUUAAAGGGUGCGUAGGCGGAUCGUUAAGUGUCGUGUGAAAGCCCACCGCUCAACGGUGGAACCGCACGGCAUACUGGCGAUCUCGAGGAAGGUAGAGGCGGGUGGAACGAUUGGUGGAGCGGUGGAAUGCGUAGAUAUCAAUCGGAACGCCAAAGGUGAAGACAGCCCGCUGGGCCUUUCCUGACGCUGAGGCACGAAAGCGCGGGGAGCAAACAGG
rnacentral:rRNA from 1 species